rnacentral:lncRNA from 1 species
CGCCGAGCAGAGCUAGAGGCACCCUACUUCAGGUAGUUGUUUCAUUUCGAGCUUAUGUACAUAGCACUUAACUCGCCAGUGCGAGUAACUCUGUAUUUUGAUUUUUGGAUCUAUGUAUAUGAAGCUCAGUUUGUUUAGCUUUGUUCUCGAGCAGCUCUAUACUACUGUUUGUAGUAUUGUAUGUUUACAGAUACAGCUGUCGCUUCGUAUACAGGGAAAAUUCCUUUGUAUACGGCGGAUUUGUCGGCGUGCCCGAGGAACAUGUAAUCCGGGGCGUGACACAAUCAUAUCAUAGUAUUCUAUAAAGGGCUUCUUUAGUAUUUGGACCCCUCAAAAAAAAUUUUUCACAAAUCGCCUCAUCAAAUUUAUAAUUACAAUUUUGGCUCUAUCUCCGUCACGGAGGUGCCACAUCAGCACCACGCAAGCUGGCUAGGGAAGGGCCUUAAGUUGAACACGGUGAAUCAUUCAACGUAUUCAUGUUCCAUAUAUACUUAUAUUCCUCUUAUAUUCAUCGUUUUCAAUACUUAUAUUUUUUCACAAUACAUAAAUUUUCUCUAGACACGGUGAACCAUUCACCGUGUUUAGACAUGGUGAAUAAAUUACCAUAUUCAACUUAUUCCAGCACCUCCACCAUCGCUCGCGUGACGUUUAUGUGGUGCUUGCGUGGCAAGGAUAGGGCCAAAACUGUAAUUAUAAAUUUAGUGGGAUUAUUUAUGAAGAUAAUUUUUUUGAGGAGGCUAUAAAUAACUCAACCGCCAAUUAUUAU